GAAGAAGUCCCGUGCGGUGUGGACGCUGCGGGGGUCGGUGAUGUCCAGCUGGUGGAAGAGCGCUGUCAAGCCCUCCUUCUUCAGACUUUCCACUGCUGCGGUUCCUCGACCGACAUCCCGGGCUGUCAGAUACUGGAAGGAGGCUUAUAGCAACUCAAACUAUGAAGGCCAAAGACAGUGUUAUUCCUUGCUUGAGAAAUAUUUGUGGCUGUAUAAAAAGAAACUUGACGUUUGGGAUGCAUGGCCCUUCCUGGCGACUGAUGACUGCACAGAUACGGCUGUCCUUGCAACCUGAGCAAUAGUGAGAAGUUAACAUCCUAAACAUAUUAUUAGUAUGCGUGGAAUUUGUUUGCAUGAUAAUGCAAAAUACAUUGUAAUUGUUAUUGCUUUAACUUCAACUCAACCUUGCAAAGACAGAACUGCUUGUGAUUCCAGCAAACCCAUCACUUCAUCACAAUUUCACCAUCCAGUUAGGCACAUCAACCAUAACUCAUUCAAAAACAGCCAGAAACCUUGGAGUUAUGAUUGAUGAUCAGCUGACUUUCUCAGACAGCAUUGCUAAAACAGUCCGAUCCUGCAGAUUUGCUUUAUUCAACAUCAAGAAGAUCAGACCCUUUCUUUCAGAACAUGCUGCACAACUCCUUGUUCAAGCUCUUGUUCUGUCCUCUUGGGAGCAGUAGAGAGCUGGGAUAGGGAGGAGUGGUGCAUCCACAAUGCCCUAAAGCUUUGUAAUAACCUCACAGAUAACAAUGUCUAGGCACUAGAGAGGCUAUCACAGCUCAAACAGGGUGCGAACCGGUCUCUCCUUGAACAACGGUGUGGGGUGGAGAGCCUGAGACAAGAGGAGCAAAGGAUUCUGGAACACACAUGAGUGGUUCUUCAAAACCUCUGGGGACAAUAGUCACUCUGGUAACAGCAGUGCAUUCAGGACACUGAGGAACCAGAAGCCUCAUGCGGUCACUGCCAAGGUUUAGACACAAGCCAAGAGCCUGCAGAUAUGGUUGAGCUUUGUACUACAGCACUUAACACAACCACCUUAAAAACUACAGGGAGUUUACUUAAUUACUUAAAAGAAUAGUUCACCAAAAUCCCAAAAUUCUGUCAUUUAAUCACCCUCAUGUUGUUCCAAACGUGUAUGACUGUUUCUUCUGUGGAACACAAAAGACAUUUUGAAGAAUGUCCAUGCUGCUUUUUUCUAUCAGCGUUGCUAUUGCUAACAAAAACAUCAUUUUAAUUAUUAGAAAUAAAAAGUAAAUAAAUAAAUACAUAUUAGAAACACUUACAGGGACACACACAACACCAAACCUGCCCCAACCUUACCUGUAUCCCUUCUCAAUAGCAACACAAUUGAUUAGCGCUUCAACAUGAACACAAUAGACACACUGUACCUAACAAUAUAUAUAUAUAUAUAUAUAUAUAUAUAUAAAUAUAUAUAUAUAUUUUUAUUAUUAUUAUUGCUGUACUACAAAUUAUUGUUCAACAUUCACUUACCUCUAUUCGUUUUCAUUGCAUUGAAAUUAUCAGUAUGAAUUUUUUUUUUAAUUUUAUAAAUAACAUCAUGCAGGUUUGGAUUGACACAAGUGUGAGUAAAUGAUGACAGAAUUGUAAUUUUUAGGUGAUCUCUCUUUAUAUUGCCCCCACAGUUUGGGAUUUCUGAGCUUCAACAAUUGGUUUUUCUCCUAGAUAGCUGUGACAGUUCCAGAAUGGUGGACAGGAAGAUGAGGGGACAUUUAGAACAAUGAGAUCUUAACAAACACAAAUCUUCUAUUGAAAGCAAAUGAGCUACAUGCUGCGUUUCUGGUAGGAGACUACUGAUAAUCAAAUGCAUACCUCUGAACAAUGAUGCCGAAUUCUAGGU